UACGUAGGGGGCAAGCGUUGUCCGGAUUUAUUGGGCGUAAAGAGCGUGUAGGCGGCCAGAUAGGUCAGCUGUGAAAACUCGAGGCUCAACCUCGAGAUGUCGGCUGAAACCAUCUGGCUAGAGUCCGGAAGAGGAGAAUGGAAUUCCCGGUGUAGCGGUGAAAUGCGCAGAUAUCGGGAAGAACACCCGUGGCGAAGGCGGUUCUCUGGGACGGUACUGACGCUGAGGCGCGAAAGCGUGGGGAGCAAACAGG
rnacentral:rRNA from 1 species